CCUACGGGAGGCAGCAGUCGAGAAUCUUUCACAAUGGGGGAAACCCUGAUGGUGCGACGCCGCGUGGGUGAAGGAAGUCUUUCGGAUUGUAAACCCCUGUCAUAGGGGAGCAAAUUAAAAAGAUAGUACCACAAGAGGAAGAGACUGCUAACUCGGUACCAGCAGCCGCGGUAAUACAGAGGUCUCAAGCGUUGUCCGGAAUCACUGGGCGUAAAGGGUGCGUAGGCUGUUUAGUAAGUCGUGUGUGAAAGGCGCGGGCUCAACCGGCGGACUGCAAAUGAUACUGCGAGACUUGAGUGAAGGAGGGGGAACUGGAAUUCCGGGUGUAGCGGUGAAAUGCGUAGAUAUAGGGAGGAACACUAGUGGCGAAGGCGGGUUCCUGGACUUUAACUGACGCUGAGGCACGAAGGCCAGGGGAGCGAAAGGGAUUAGAUACCCGAGUAGUC
rnacentral:rRNA from 1 species